rnacentral:tRNA from 1 species
CCUUCGAUAGCUCAGUUGGUAGAGCGGAGGACUGUAGAAGCUACGGAGAAAUCCUUAGGUCGCUGGUUCGAAUCCGGCUCGAAGGA